UACAGCCAUAUCGUGUUGAAACAUCAGUUCUCUAUAUGAUCACCACAGUUAAGUAACAUCAAGCCUAAUCAGUACCUUGAUGGGUGACUGCUUGGGAAUACCAGAUGCUGUAA